AUGGAUAACCGUGGUAAUUCUAGAGCUAAUACAUGCUGGAAACCCCAACUUCGGGAGGGGUGUAUUUAUUAGAUAAAAAACCAACGCCCUUCGGGGCUUCUUGGUGAUUCAUAAUAACUUUACGGAUCGCAUGGCCUUGCGCCGGCGACGGUUCAUUCAAAUUUCUGCCCUAUCAACUUUCGAUGGUAAGGUAUUGGCUUACCAUGGUUUCAACGGGUAACGGGGAAUUAGGGUUCGAUUCCGGAGAGGGAGCUUGAGAAACGGCUACCACAUCCAAGGAAGGCAGCAGGCGCGCAAAUUACCCAAUCCCGACACGGGGAGGUAGUGACAAUAAAUACUGAUACAGGGCUCUUUUGGGUCUUGUAAUUGGAAUGAGUACAAUUUAAACCUCUUAACGAGGAACAAUUGGAGGGCAAGUCUGGUGCCAGCAGCCGCGGUAAUUCCAGCUCCAAUAGCGUAUAUUAAAGUUGUUGCAGUUAAAAAGCUCGUAGUUGAAACUUGGGUCUGGCUGGCAGGUCCGCCUCACCGCGUGUACUUGUCCGGCCGGGCCUUCCUUCUGGAGAACCUCAUGCCCUUCACUGGGCGUGUUGGGGACCAGGACUUUUACUUUGAAAAAAUUAGAGUGUUCAAAGCAGGCCUUUGCUCGAAUACGUUAGCAUGGAAUAAUAGAAUAGGACGUGCGGUCCUAUUUUGUUGGUUUCUAGGACCGCCGUAAUGAUUAAUAGGGACAGUCGGGGGCAUCAGUAUUCAAUUGUCAGAGGUGAAAUUCUUGGAUUUAUUGAAGACUAACUACUGCGAAAGCAUUUGCCAAGGAUGUUUUCAUUAAUCAGUGAACGAAAGUUAGGGGAUCGAAGACGAUCAGAUACCGUCGUAGUCUUAACCGUAAACUAUGCCGACUAGGGAUCGGGCGAUGUUCUUUUUCUGACUCGCUCGGCACCUUACGAGAAAUCAAA
rnacentral:rRNA from 1 species